rnacentral:rRNA from 1 species
UACAGAGGGGGCAAGCGUUAUUCGGAAUUAUUGGGCGUAAAGGGCGCGUAGGCGGCUUGGCAAGUGGAAGGUGAAAUCCCUCGGCUUAACCGAGGAACUGCCCUCCAAACUGCUUAGCUUGAGACCGGGAGAGGUGAGUGGAAUUCCCAGUGUAGCGGUGAAAUGCGUAGAUAUUGGGAGGAACACCAGUGGCGAAGGCGGCUCACUGGACCGGUUCUGACGCUGAGGCGCGAAAGCGUGGGGAGCAAACGGG